rnacentral:rRNA from 1 species
UACGGAGGGUGCGAGCGUUGUCCGGAAUCAUUGGGCGUAAAGGGCGCGUAGGUGGCGGCUUAAGCGUGCGGUGAAAGCUCGGGGGCUCAACCCCGAGUCGGCCGUGCGAACUGAGUCGCUUGAGCACUGUAGAGGCAGGCGGAAUUCCGGGUGUAGCGGUGGAAUGCGUAGAGAUCCGGAAGAACACCGGUGGCGAAGGCGGUGAGCUGGGCAGUAGCUGACACUGAGGCGCGACAGCGUGGGGAGCAAACAGG